rfam:Nicotiana attenuata strain TT chromosome 1, whole genome shotgun sequence.
UUGUUAUGGUGUGGGCACUCUCUUAGUAGCCCCUUGAAUCCCUCCCAGGCUUCGUAAAGUGAUUCAAUUUCUCUCUGUUUGAAUGCAACUAUCUCACUUCUUAUCUU